rnacentral:rRNA from 1 species
AGUGAACGCUGGCGGUAGGCCUAACACAUGCAAGUCGAACGGCAGCACAGUAAGAGCUUGCUCUUACGGGUGGCGAGUGGCGGACGGGUGAGGAAUACAUCGGAAUCUACUUUUUCGUGGGGGAUAACGUAGGGAAACUUACGCUAAUACCGCAUACGACCUACGGGUGAAAGCAGUGGAUCUUCGGACCUUGCGCGAUUGAAUGAGCCGAUGUCGGAUUAGCUAGUUGGCGGGGUAAAGGCCCACCAAGGCGACGAUGCGUAGCUCGGCUGAGAGGAUGAUAGGCGACACUGGAAAAGAGACACGGGCCCGACACCCAAGGGGGGGAGCAGUGGGGAAUAUUUUGCAAAGGGCGAAAACCUGACGGAGCACCGCCGCGUGAGGGAGAAAAGGCUUCGGAUCGUAAAAAUCUGUUUUUAGGGAAAAAAAAAGGUGUAAGUAAAUACGCCCGUGUUGAGGGUACCCAAAAAGAAAGACCCGGCUAAAUACGUG